GAAACAUUAUAAUGGCAAAAAAACAGAUAUAGUAAAGAUGAAGUAGCACACUGCAUAGUACAAACAUUGAACAAUUUCUCUAUAUUAUUUGCAUCUACUUUAGUUCUAAAGCAGCGGGGAAGGGUCACCUGACUAUUGACCUUCAACCUGAUGGUGAACGCGCUCAAAAUGAGGUUGAAAGAAUGGAUGUGUGGGAUUAGGUCUGUGAAACACAAUUGAAGCCAUGGAAACGUCUGAGCAGUGUCUCUUACUUCUAGUGAGUCCAUCAAUGAUGUUGAAGAAACAAACAGUGGUUUGGGAGACAAGGCCUGUAGCCAUUGUGUGAUGACAGGAUGUGUGGCCUGUAGAUCUGAAGAUUCUCUCCACAGCCAAGUAAUGCACAGUGACAGCAGACAAAGCCCACCUGGCUAUUGACCUUUAACCUGAUGGUGAACGUACUCAAACUGAGGUUGGUGGGAUAGAGUGAAACAGAAUUACAAGCCAUGGAAAUGUGCGGACAGCUGUAUGUACGUUACCUUGAAAUGCUCGGUACUGAACGUCAGUGAUGCAGACUGUGAUCAUCAUCGGAAGAGCAGCAGUCCUGUAUUGAUCCAAAUGGGCAACACUUGGCUGGCCGGGGGUCAUGACCCCACUACAUAACUAAAAAGACAAAUUAAAUAAAGCUUAGUCACACACCGGGUUGAAAGUAAUGUUUACAAGGGCGCCCUCAGCCAUCAAAGUCUGUUACAGAAAGGUAAAUGUCAUUUAGUCUUUAUAAAUUGCACAGAUGGAAAUUUUGAAAAAGUAAUGUAAUUUAAAACGACAAAAAAUUGGUUUACCAACAUAGUACAGUAUAUUGUAUAGCUAGUAUAAAAAUGUGUUGCUAGUAUGUGAAAAAUAUUUUUCUAGACAUACUGCCUGUGUUAUACUGACAAAUUGGUAUUUUUUUUGUGUUAAUGUACAAUAAUGUAUUGUUUAAUUGUAAAACUGAAUGCUUAAGGAAAUGAAAGUUAGUGUAAUACACAGCCUUUCCCUUUAAUGCCCUCUCCAAUUAAAUACCAAUUUUUGUAAAUGUUUUGGGUCAAUAAUUUCUUCUUUUUUUUUCUAAUUUUUACGAAACUUUUUACAUACUUUGUUAAAAGCGUGGCUCAUCAUUCCCUAUCUAGAGAAUUAAUAUAACAUUUAUUAUGUUUAAGUUAAUAUUUUCAUAUUUAUAAUAGAACCCAUUUAAUAUUAAGCUACAGUUCUUUAACAGAGCUCAGAUAUUUAAGUUUUUAAGUUUAUUUAUUUGAUCUAAAUACCGUCAAACCUCAAUUUGAAGCCCUGGGCUUCUUUCGAGAUGGGUUUCUUUUCAAGGCUACUUUUGAAAACUAAAGAAGCGGGGGCUUCAAUUUGAGAUGGGCUUCUUCUCAAGAUUAAGCCCAUUGGGCUUCUACUCGAGGUUUUGUUGUAUAUCAAUACUAAUUGUUUUCAAUUAUUGUACCACAAGACUCAUUUUGUCACGACAGCUCACAUAUUCUUGGCAAAGGCUUAUAAAUUUUGCUGGUAAUCAGUACAAAAUAUUUUACUAUAAUUUUUGGUAAAAAAGUAACUAAAUCAGCAAAUUUGUAUCUCGUUGGAAAAAAUGACCAUUUAUUAUGCAAUUCUUUGUUUUUAUUUAACAUAAUUUUAACAUAUAUAAGCACGUCAUGACUAUGUACACAUCAUGACUAUAUAUGGGCACAUCAUGACUAUAUGGGCACAUCAUGACUAUAUAUGGGCAAAUCAUGACUAUAUAUGGACACAUCAUGACUAUGGGCAUACAACAGUGUUUUGUCAAAUGAAAUUUGAUAGUGUGUGAGGUAAAUUGCCACCGUUUAUUACAAUUAUUACAACCAAGCAGUACUUGGUAAAGACAAACUUGAUAUCUUGCUUUGAACAAUAUCACAUAUUUUUGGAUCCACACAAGGCACUAACCCCAGAGCAUCACUGCUGUUCUUGUUCUUGUACUUGUUACCAACGCAAAACUUUAAAAGCGUCCAGCGUCGCUAGUUUUGAAUGAACGUGCAGGAAAUUUUGUACACAAACUAAAGGUGAUUUCCAAAAAAAAAAAAAAAACGGUCAUCGCUCUUUUUUUAAGUUGGACCUCGGGGUGAUCCCCACACACUUACAAACAAAAUAGGGGUUUGAGCAAGGACUGUACAUUACUGCCAUUACCACUAAUAGUGCACGUUGCAUGGAUGGUUCGGUCGGUUUUUAAGGAUGUGUUCUAAUGAACUUAUGUUGUGAGUUCGAAUUGCAUCUACAUAAUAUUUUUUUGUUAUUAGCUCUUCAAAAAAAACCCCAAUGUAAUAACUUGCCACCGUAUUUAAGCGUGGAGGAAUGCGCGGACGAGUGAGCAGUUGCUGUUGUUUAUUGUUGGUUGUUUUAUUGUUGUUUAUUUGUAUGUUGUUGGGGAGAUUUAUUUUUUCUCUAUAGUAAUGCUUUACUGAGUUUUGACAGUUCUUGUAAAUUUUACCUAAUACUCUUUAAAUUUAAACAGAUUAAAUGUUUGUGUUUUUUGAUCAUGGCAUAAAUAGGAAGAAUUUUUUGAAAAAUCUACAAUUGCAAAUUCGAUAACUAAUUUGUUGUUUUGGCCCUAUUGUAGUUUACCUAAAUAUAUUUCAUUUCUUUUUGUAAUUUACUGUGAGAAUUUCAUCUGUUUCAUCUGAUUUUUUAUGUGAAUGCACUAUGUAUGUGCGUGUUCCAUCCAUAUAAAGUGUUUUUUUAUUAAUAAUAAUUAUUGUUAUAUAUUGUACAAAAGAUUUUUUUUUUUUUUAGAUAGCCCACGUCAGUCAUUGAACUUCAAAUCAGAUGUUUUUAAAAUCAAUUUUACUGAAUGUGGUUUUCUUGAAUAAUUCAUUAGACUGAAUUUCCGAGAAGGUAUAAAUGACAAAGUAUUUAUCUAUUCAUGUUUAUUAAUCUCUUUCCUGAUUAGAAUUUCUUCUUGCCAUUGCUCAAGCUUUUCAUGCUUAGACUAUGUACUCUAGAUAACUAAAGCUAAAACUAGGUUUUGCGACCCAAUUUUGGGUCGCCAAAACAUUUUUAAAGGUCUCGAGACUGCUUCUGACACAGUAAAGCAUAUUUCGAAACAUAGUGAAAAAUACUUCUACACAGCCGUAAUACAAAUGACUUAAAAAUAACCCAUAGGUAGCUACGAAGAUGAGAAAAUUCAUUGUCAAUACAAAUCCUAGAAGAAUCUACGCCCAUUGUUGCACUGUACGUCGCCAAUUCCUUCAGGGAUUGAUAAGAUCAUUAAAAUUAAUUUGACAGGAACAUAGCUCACUAAUAACACGACGUGCCAGUCAACAAGUAAUAGUUACACCGUGUUUAAAAUGAGUUAAUUCUAUUCUUUAAUUCGUUGGGGAUGUGCGAGCUUCAUCACAUUUUUCAAUUAGUCUUUACCCAGUUAACCUCGUCUGCAUAGGUCGAAAAUUCGCCAUUGUGUUAUUAAACUUUUGCAUUAAUAAACAUUUCAAAAUUACGAGUGUCGAAUUAUAAUAGCAUAGAUUUUCCAUAAAGAAAAU